CAUAUCGGGAAAAAAAGAAGAAGAUACAAAUAAAUAUUUUAUUUAUAAAUAAAAUGCUAAUGUUCUUAUAAUACAAAUUCUUUGGUGUGGUCAUUGUAUGUCUUUUUAUUUCACAGAUGGUAACCAUUAAAAUUUAACUUGGGAAAUUGUUAUUUUCGAACUGAUUGGAGUGCAAGUAGACACUCACAUCUCUAUAAACGUUCUGUGGUACUCAUAUUACAGUUUCCUGUUAGAAGUCUGUAGUUCAAAGCGGAGAUGGUGUUAAUAUCAGACACUGAGGUUCAAAGACAUGGUUAAACGGCCAUUUUGGUUAACUUUAGAUAUAACUUGUUUAAUUCUUUUAUUCAAUACCAUUUUUGUGACAAAUAUAAACAAUUACGUGGGUGUUUAGUGUGAAAAAUAUAGACAACUAUGUGUGUGUGUAAUGUGGAAACAAAACAAAGUUGUAAGUAAUAUUUAUCUUUGCAUUUUUAGGUUAAGUUUUGCUGUUUUCAUUUGAACUAGUGAUAUUUUGUUUAUAACAAAUAACUUCUGAGAAAAUUCAAGAGAAUUUGUAAAUAUAGGCAACAUAUAUUUAUCAGCUAUAUUUUCAUUAGCAAGCAUCUGUACUUCUACUUGGAAAUCACAGUUUGUAUUAUUUUUUGUACGUAUUUAAAGUAUUUUCGUAUUCUAAUAUAGGCAUCGAAAAUUGUACUAAAUGCUUUUAUACUAAUUCAGUUUUUAUGAUCUUUUUAUGAUACGUUCAACUUAUUUUAAGUAAAUUGUGUAAACCAUGAUUUUCUCACAAAAUAUUCAGCAACAGCUUGAAGUUAUUAGGAGUCUAAUAUUUCUUAUCUGUUGGUAUAAAAUAAAUUUAUUCUGAAGAGAUUAUUACAAAUUACUUUUAUAAUUCUUUUAUAUUAGUGUGAAAUUCUUUUCAUUUUAUUAACAAUCAAUUUGAACUUAGCAGUUUUGCUUUGAUUUAAAAUAACUGACAUAUUAUAGAAGCGCGCUGUUGCCAGAUUUAUACUGAAAAAAUAUUCAAAUAAAAUUACUUUGUAUUGAUAUUGAUAUUUUAUGAAAAUAGAAAGAAAUUGUAAAUUUUGAACUUACCACUUGGACUUGAACACGACGUCCUAGCUAUAACUUCUUCUCUUUCGUCAAUAUGUAUCCAACAGCCUUCUUUAUAAGGCACGUCGUAAAUACCUACAUCAUCCUCAUUUUCGGGUGCUCCUGGCAAAACACUCGGACUGGAAUCCGCUGCUUUCAACUGCUCUUGACUAUUAUUCGUCGAUUUUGCCAUUGGUCUUAAUUUGUUUUUCAAAUUAUUACCUCGUUCUUCAGACUAAAAAAAAUUAUAACUAAACUUGAAAAAAUCUGUGAACCAAAUCCAAAAUCACCUUUGCCCUAACAUCGGACUUAUAACGAUUCUUCUUGUUUUCCAAAUAAUUUCUUUCCUCUGAUCUAAUUCUUCUUUCCAACUUUUUGAAUAAUCUACCGCUGGUUUUGAUUCUGGGGGAAUCCUCAAACCCCGCUGGAGGUUGUACGAUCUCCUCGGGGUUUUCCAAACUCGAUAUACUUUUGUCUGGAUCGUCUGUUGUCACUAUAUCAACUUCUUUUCCACAAUGUAAACAGUGAACUUGAUGAUCGACAGUUUGACUACUGGGAUCACUGUAAAAAACGCUGUCGCUACCUAAAAACGAUGGAAUAAAUGUCGUCCAUCUAUAUAAAUCGCGAAAAAACGCCUGGACAUAAGUUACAAUCACGGUUCGCGAGAAAACGACUAAAUAAAAGUAAAAACUCACGUUUGUGAAAUUCCUCGAGAAAAAGUCCUAAUAGUAAUGAGAAGUGACAACUAAAAAUGUCUAUAGCAGUCGCGAAAAAACACCCGAACAAAAGUGAUAACGGAGAAGAUCGUUUAUCUUUAAAUUUCGCGAAAAAAUGCCUUGAAUCAAAUGUCAUUGACAUCUAAAAAAUUGUUUAUAUACAAAAUUCUCAGGAAAAUGUCUCACAGACGAUCGAAAAUAUCAAUAAUCUUUAGAAUACGCGAGAAAACGCCUUAAAAAGUGACAAUUGGCAACUAAAAUCAAUUUUUUCUAUAAAAUCCGCGAAAAAAUACUUGAAUAGGAGUGACAACGGAGGAUGUCGAUUAUCUUUAAAAUUCGCGAGAAAAUGCCUGAAAUCAAAUGUCAACUGACAACUAAAAAUUUUGUUUAUUUAUAAAAUUCUCGGGAAAACGUCCGACAGACGAGUGAAAAUAUCGAUUAUCUUCAGAAUUCGCGAGAAAACGCCUAAAUAAAAAUGAUAAUUGAAA